GAUGAACGCUGGCGGCGUGCCUAAUACAUGCAAGUCGAGCGAACGGACGAGAAGCUUGCUUCUCUGAUGUUAGCGGCGGACGGGUGAGUAACACGUGGAUAACCUACCUAUAAGACUGGGAUAACUUCGGGAAACCGGAGCUAAUACCGGAUAAUAUUUUGAACCGCAUGGUUCAAAAGUGAAUGACGGUCUUGCUGUCACUUCUAGAUGGAUCCGCGCUGCAUUAGCUAGUUGGUAAGGUAACGGCUUACCAAGGCAACGAUGCAUAGCCGACCUGAGAGGGUGAUCGGCCACACUGGAACUGAGACACGGUCCAGACUCCUACGGGAGGCAGCAGUAGGGAAUCUUCCGCAAUGGGCGAAAGCCUGACGGAGCAACGCCGCGUGAGUGAUGAAGGUCUUCGGAUCGUAAAACUCUGUUAUUAGGGAAGAACAUAUGUGUAAGUAACUGUGCACAUCUUGACGGUACCUAAUCAGAAAGCCACGGCUAACUACGUG
rnacentral:rRNA from 1 species